rfam:Picea glauca, whole genome shotgun sequence.
GGGUGCGAUCAUACCAAUGUUAAUGCACCUGAUCCCAUCAGAACUCCGCAGUUAAGCACGCUUGGUCUAGAGUAGUACUGGGAUGGGUGACCUCCUGGGAAGUCCUAGUGUUGCACCCU